rnacentral:rRNA from 1 species
UACGUAGGGUGCAAGCGUUGUCCGGAAUUAUUGGGCGUAAAGAGCUCGUAGGCGGUUUGUCGCGUCUGGUGUGAAAAUCCAGGGCUUAACCCUGGACCUGCAUCGGGUACGGGCAGACUAGAGUGCGGUAGGGGAGAUCGGAAUUCCUGGUGUAGCGGUGAAAUGCGCAGAUAUCAGGAGGAACACCGGUGGCGAAGGCGGAUCUCUGGGCCGUAACUGACGCUGAGGAGCGAAAGCAUGGGGAGCGAACCGG